rnacentral:rRNA from 1 species
UACGUAGGGUGCAAGCGUUGUCCGGAAUUAUUGGGCGUAAAGAGCUCGUAGGCGGUCAGUCGCGUCUGCUGUGAAAACUCGGGGCUUAACUCCGGGCCUGCAGCGGGUACGGGCUGACUAGAGUGCGGUAGGGGAGACUGGAAUUCCUGGUGUAGCGGUGAAAUGCGCAGAUAUCAGGAGGAACGCCGGUGGCGAAGGCGGGUCUCUGGGCCGUAACUGACGCUGAGGAGCGAAAGCGUGGGGAGCGAACAGG